rnacentral:tRNA from 1 species
GGGCCUGUAGCUCAACCUGAGGAAAAAUUUCGGUUAUGGAGAGCAUACGGCUGAAGACCGUAGUGUCGUGGGUUCAAAUCCCACCAGGCCCA